GCAAGGUGCUGCAUGGUUGUCGUCAGCUCGUGCCGUGAGGUGUCGGGUUAAGUCCCAUAACGAGCGCAACCCUUAUCGUUAGUUGCCAGCGGGUAAUGCCGGGAACUCUAGCGAAACUGCCGGUGUAAACCGUGAGGAAGGUGGGGAUGACGUCAAAUCAGCACGGCCCUUAUGUCCAGGGCUACACACGUGUUACAAUGGCCGGUACAGAGGGCAGCUACCUGGAGACAGGAUGCGAAUCUCCAAAGCCGGUCUCAGUUCGGAUCGGAGUCUGCAACUCGACUCCGUGAAGCUGGGAUUCGCUAGUAAUCGCGGAUCAGCAUGCCGCGGUGAAUACGUUCUCGGGGUUU
rnacentral:rRNA from 1 species